AGACCACAUUUGGGAUUCUGCCAGGCGGCCUCAACCCAACCCCACAAAGCCCGGGCUGCAGGAGACCCUGGAGGUCCUCCGAGCUGAGUGGACUUGCCAGGGGGCGGGCCUUGGGGUCCCCAGACAGCAGCUUCACCCUCAGCCUCCUUCCCUGUGAGCGUCUGUGGAGCAAAGAAGAGCGUACCUUAUCCAGAAAGUAUCUUGCCUAUUCCUCGUUUAUUCACCUCAUUCAUUCCUGCUGCAUUCUGGGGGAACAUAAAGAGUCUGAGUGUUCAAGGGUGUCAAGUCCUGGGACGAGGGGAGCAGUGUACUCCCGCAGGUGCUGCUCCAUGUCAAGCCUAGGUGUGUCCUACAUAAAUCAAGAGACCAGAGCUGAGCACUGGUUCCCCAGGUGCGUCCACAGCUUUCCGAGGUCGAGAUCCCGAGAGCCCUGGGAAGUCACGGGGGAGAACAGAGGCAGCAGCUGGCCUCUGGAGACAAUUCAGGGUGCACCGUGAGGAGCCAGGCUCCGAGAUGAGCCCGCAAGCCUAUCAUGAUGAACAACUCCAG